CACCAGUGGNGAAGGCGACUUUCUGGACGAAAACUGACGCUGAGGCGCGAAANCCAGGGGAGCGAACGGGAUUAGAUACCCCGGUAGUCNUGGCCGUAAACGAUGGGUACUAGGUGUAGGAGGUAUCGACCCNUUCUGUGCCGGAGUUAACGCAAUAAGUACCCCGCCUGGGGAGUACGACCGCAAGGUUGAAACUCAAAGGAAUUGACGGGGGCCCGCACAAGCGGUGGAGUAUGUGGUUUAAUUCGACGCAACGCGAAGAACCUUACCAGGUCUUGACAUUGAUGGACAGAACCAGAGAUGGUUCNUCUUCUUCGGAAGCCAGAAAACAGGUGGUGCACGGUUGUCGUCAGCUCGUGUCGUGAGAUGUUGGGUNNNNNNNNNNNNNCGAGCGCAACCCCUAUCUUAUGUUGCCAGCACUUUGGGUGGGGACUCAUGAGAGACUGCCGCAGACAAUGCGGAGGAAGGCGGGGAUGACGUCAAAUCAUCAUGCCCCUUAUGACCUGGGCUACACACGUACUACAAUGGGAGUUAAUAGACGGAAGCGAGAUCGCGAGAUGGAGCAAACCCGAGAAACACUCUCUCAGUUCGGAUCGUAGGCUGCAACUCGCCUACGUGAAGUCGGAAUCGCUAUUAAUCGCAGGUCAGCAUACUGCGGUGAAUACGUUCCCGGGCCU
rnacentral:rRNA from 1 species